AUCACCUGCCUUGUCUAGUCCAUAUUUGUAUGAAUGAAAUAGGUUUGCUCACAGGCCAUCACCAAUGGCAUCCCAGCUGAGGGAAUUAUACUGUCUUGUUGGGGUCUCCGUCUUAUGGUCGAAGCCAAGAGCAUCAACAAAAAUCUGCUCCCAGGAGAAAUUUCAAACGAAAUCCACCUCCUUUUGACACGUUCAAACUCAAUGUUGAUGCUUCAGUUCGUGGCGAAGAGAAUUUCUUUACAAAUAGGGCAAUAAUUUGGGACAUGGCUUAGUGAUUGGCUCUCAAUACACAAAAUUCAAAGGAGAUUCAAGGUUGUAGAUGCUGAGGAUGGAGUCUAGGGCUUUGAAUUAUUGAAUCAAAAAGUGACUGCCUCCAUGCAUACUCCCUUCUACGUUGGAUCACUUCACUUCUGGUGAAAACUGGUAGUGACACGUGUAGCUUCAUUCCUCUAGAGAGAAACACGGCUACGUACGCCAUUGCCUCAUUUGUUACUUCUAAUUUAUCAUUUCACUCAUUGACUAAUUGUAUGCCAUGUUUUUUUGAGCCUGAUUGUUACUCGGGGUAUUGCAUAAUGAAUAUGGUUACUGUUUGGUAGGG
rnacentral:lncRNA from 1 species